AUGGAAGCAUCCACGGGUGGGACACAUCAAGAUGAAGAAAACGAGGAAGUACACCAAGAUGAACCUCAUCAACCUCCUUCUCCACCACGACAAGAGAACGACAACGUCAACAAUGAAGAAGGCCAAGAAGAAGGACAAGAUGAAGAAGAUGUUCCACCCCGACCCAAGCAAAAGCUCCCACGAGUUCGAGCAAGAGUCGCCAAAGACCAUCCCGUCGAGCAAAUCUACAAUGAUAUCCAAACCGGGAGAAUCACUCGCUCUAAAACUCGUUUGGCCAAUUUUUGUGAACAUUAUUCAUUCAUCUCUAGCAUUGAACCUAUGAAGGUUGAAGAAGCAUUGGAAGAUUCGGAUUGGACAAACGCCAUGCAUGAAGAGCUACACAACUUUGAGAGAAACCAACUGUGGACAUUGGUCGAGAAGCCCGACAACAACCACAACAUCAUUGGUACCAAAUGGGUGUUUCGCAACAAGCAAGAUGAAGAUGGACAAGUAGUUCGCAACAAAGCACGUCUCGUCGCCCAAGGCUACACUCAAGUCGAAGGUAUGGACUAUGGUGAGACAUAUGCCCCCGUUGCUAGAAUUGAGUCCAUUCGCAUCUUACUUGCUUAUGCUAAUCACCAUGAUAUCACCUUGUACCAAAUGGACAUUAAAAGUGCUUUUCUAAAUGGUGAAAUUGAGGAGGAAGUUUAUGUUAAGCAACCUCCCGGCUUUGUCAAUCCUAAGAAACCUAAUCAUGUUUACAAACUUCACAAAGCUCUUUAUGGUCUUAAACAAGCUACUAGAGCGUGGUAUAAAUGCUUGACCAAGUUCCUUAUUGAAAAAAGCUUUGAAAUUGGAAAAAUAGAUUCUACUCUUUUUACUAAAAGGGUUAAUGGAGAACUAUUUGUGUGCCAAAUUUAUGUUGAUGAUAUUAUAUUUGGUUCGACCAACCCUCAUUUUAGUGAGAAGUUUGGAAAGCUAAUGUCGGAGAAGUUUGAGAUGUCUAUGAUGAGUGAACUCAAAUUCUUUCUUGGUUUGCAAAUCAAGCAAACUAAGGAAGGUACCUUUGUUUCUCAAACAAAGUACACCAAGGACUUAUUCAAGAAGUUCAAUAUGCAGGAAUGCAAAGGUAUGAAUACACCCAUGCCUACUAGUGGACAUCUUGAUUUGACCAAAGAUGGUGAACCGGUUGAUCAAAAGGUUUACGGCUCUAUGAUUGGUUCAUUGUUAUAUCUAUGUGCCUCUCGUCCCGACAUUAUGCUAAGUGUGUGCAUGUGUGCACAAUAUCAAGCGGCCCCUAAAGAAUGUCAUCUUAAGGUUGUGAAAAGGAUAGUGAGGUACUUAAUACAUACACCAAAUUUUGGCAUUUGGUAUCCUAAGAGGUCUUCUUUCGAUCUUGUCGGCUACUCCGAUUCGGACUAUGCCGGAGACAAGGAUAAUAGAAAGUCCACUUCGGGUACUUGUCAAUUUCUUGGUAGAUCUCUUGUGUCUUGGUCCUCCAAGAAACAAAACUCGCUAUCCUUAUCCACCGCCGAAGCGGAAUACAUUGCUGCUAGUUCAUGUUGUGCUCAAUUACUUUGGAUGACCCAAACUCUUAAGGAUUAUGGGAUAUAUGUGAAACAUGUUCCAUUGCUUUGUGACAAUAAAAGUGCUAUUAAGAUUGCUCAUAAUCCUGUGCAACAUUCUCAAACUAAGCAUAUUGAAGUUCGUCAUCAUUUCAUUCGAGAUCAUGUUGCUAAAGGGGACAUUGAUCUUAAGCAUCUUCGCACUGAUAAGCAAUUGACGGAUAUAUUCACCAAACCGCUUGAUGAGAAAGUCUUUUGCCGUUUGAGAGGUGAAUUGAACAUCAUUGAUGCUUCAAACUUGGAGUAG
rnacentral:rRNA from 1 species